UCCGUGCUGAGAUUUCGUCAA
rnacentral:miRNA from 1 species